rnacentral:tRNA from 1 species
GCCGCUGUUGCGUAGUGGCAGCGCAGGGGCCUGUGGAGCCCUUAGCCCGGGUUCGAUUCCCGGCAGCGGCC